rnacentral:misc_RNA from 1 species
AAGUCGUAACAAGGUCUCCGUUGGUGAACCAGCGGAGGGAUCAUUACCGGGUCGGCGACUGCCCGAAACCACACCGUGCACCUGCACCGGUACUCUUUUGUUUGAGCCGCGCGCACCGCGGCGGGUUUGCUCGCUGGGGGAGCAGCAGGUCCGGCGGACUCGUCCCCGGGCCGGCCCGCCAAGGUGCCGUCCAGAAACACGCUGAGGAACUUUCUGAAGGUGCAACGGCGGCCUCGUGCCCCGAAAAACCUAGUCACAACUCACAACGAUGGAUCUCUUGGCUCCG